CUAACCCAAACCCGAAUGGCCCACUACAACCCAUUCCAACCUAAUACCCAUCUAAAUUAACCCACAUAAAACCCAAAUACCCACAACCCAUUACAAACCAAACCCAAUACAGCAAGCUCAAUAUCAUUAACCCCAACUACCCGAAACCCUAGCCCUAUUUUCAGCUCCCCACUUACCUUCUGCCCCCAACCACUCCACUGGCCACCAGCCACCAGCCACCUGCCCACUGCAGCAUCGUCCCAUCACAUCCACCACCCUCUGCACCUGCAAGCCAGUAAAGAGAAGAGACAGAAACAAUAUAAAAAUAAAUGCUGUAAAAAACCCGAAUGAAAUGCUGUAAAAAAGGGUUGGAUUUUGAAACAAUACCGAGGAUAUUCCAAUAUACACAAGCAGAUUCAAAAAAUAUAUAAGGAAAACACGAGAAUAGCAUCAAUCCGGUAACCAAAAUACAGGCAUCAAACAUUAAGGUGAUUUUUUUAUUUUUCUAUUUUUAAUUUCGUUUUUAGAUAUAUUUUCUCACUUAUAUAUAUAUUAGAACAUAUUAACAAAAAAAUUCAAAAAAAAAUUACCUAUUGAACUUCCGGCCACCGCGUGCGGUGGCCAGCGCCGGCGACGCACGAUGGUCCGGUGACCGGACGAUGGCCG
rnacentral:lncRNA from 1 species